AACGAACGCUGGCGGCAUGCCUAACACAUGCAAGUCGAACGAGACCUUCGGGUCUAGUGGCGCACGGGUGCGUAACGCGUGGGAACCUGCCCUUAGGUUCGGAAUAACUCCCCGAAAGGGGUGCUAAUACCGGAUAAUGUCUUCGGACCAAAGAUUUAUCGCCUUUGGAUGGGCCCGCGUUGGAUUAGCUAGUUGGUAGGGUAAAAGCCUACCAAGGGGACGAUCCAUAGCUGGUCUGAGAGGAUGAUCAGCCACACUGGGACUGAGACACGGCCCAGACUCCUACGGGAGGCAGGAGUGGGGAAUAUUGGACAAUGGGCGAAAGCCUGAUCCAGCAAUGCCGCGUGAGUGAUGAAGGCCUUAGGGUUGUAAAGCUCUUUUACCCGGGAUGAUAAUGACAGUACCGGGAGAAUAAGCUCCGGCUAACUCCGUG
rnacentral:rRNA from 1 species